rnacentral:rRNA from 1 species
UACGUAGGGGGCUAGCGUUGUCCGGAAUCAUUGGGCGUAAAGAGCGUGUAGGCGGCCAGACAGGUCCGUUGUGAAAACUAGAGGCUAAACCUCUAGACGUCGAUGGAAACCGUUUGGCUAGAGUCCGGAAGAGGAGAAUGGAAUUCCUGGUGUAGCGGUGAAAUGCGCAGAUAUCAGGAAGAACACCCGUGGCUAAGGCGGUUCUCUAGUACGGUACUGACGCUGAGACGCGAAAGCGUGGGGAGCGAACAGG